rnacentral:rRNA from 1 species
CCUAGUGAUUAGAGUUUGAUCAUGGCUCAGGAUGAACGCUGGCGGCGUGCUUAACACAUGCAAGUCGAACGAACCUUCGGGUUAGUGGCGGACGGGUGAGUAACGCGUGAGAAUCUGCCCUCAGGAGGGGGAUAACGGUUGGAAACGACCGCUAAUACCCCAUAUGCCUACUGGUGAAACGAAUUUCGCCUGAGGAUGAGCUCGCGUCUGAUUAGCUAGUUGGUGAGGUAAUGGCUCACCAAGGCUUCGAUCAGUAGCUGGUCUGAGAGGAUGAUCAGCCACACUGGGACUGAGACACGGCCCAGACUCCUACGGGAGGCAGCAGUGGGGAAUUUUCCGCAAUGGGCGAAAGCCUGACGGAGCAACGCCGCGUGAGGGACGAAGGCCUCUGGGCUGUAAACCUCUUUUCUCAAGGAAGAAGAUAUGACGGUACUUGAGGAAUAAGCCACGGCUAAUUCCGUGCCAGCAGCCGCGGUAAUACGGGAGUGGCAAGCGUUAUCCGGAAUUAUUGGGCGUAAAGCGUCCGCAGGCGGCUUUUCAAGUCUGCUGUUAAAGCGUGGAGCUUAACUCCAUCAUGGCAGUGGAAACUGAAAGGCUUGAGUAUGGUAGGGGCAGAGGGAAUUCCCGGUGUAGCGGUGAAAUGCGUAGAUAUCGGGAAGAACACCAGUGGCGAAGGCGCUCUGCUGGGCCAUUACUGACGCUCAUGGACGAAAGCCAGGGGAGCGAAAGGGAUUAGAUACCCCUGUAGUCCUGGCCGUAAACGAUGAACACUAGGUGUCGGGGGAAUCGACCCCUUCGGUGUCGUAGCUAACGCGUUAAGUGUUCCGCCUGGGGAGUACGCACGCAAGUGUGAAACUCAAAGGAAUUGACGGGGGCCCGCACAAGCGGUGGAGUAUGUGGUUUAAUUCGAUGCAACGCGAAGAACCUUACCAGGGUUUGACAUCCUGCGAACCUCUUAGAAAUUUGAGGGUGCCUUCGGGAAUGCAGUGACAGGUGGUGCAUGGCUGUCGUCAGCUCGUGUCGUGAGAUGUUGGGUUAAGUCCCGCAACGAGCGCAACCCACGUUUUUAGUUGCCAGCAUUUAGUUGGGCACUCUAGAAAGACCGCCGGUGAUAAACCGGAGGAAGGUGUGGAUGACGUCAAGUCAUCAUGCCCCUUACACCCUGGGCUACACACGUACUACAAUGCUACGGACAAAGGGCAGCAAACUCGCGAGAGCUAGCAAAUCCCAUAAACCGUGGCUCAGUUCAGAUCGUAGGCUGCAACUCGCCUACGUGAAGUAGGAAUCGCUAGUAAUCGCAGGUCAGCAUACUGCGGUGAAUACGUUCCCGGGCCUUGUAGACACCGCCC